UCGGAAAGCCUGGGGCCGGUGGGCUUCCGGGACCGCAAUUCCCAGCAGGGAGUUCGCGGCCCAGCGCUGACCCGCAGGACCAGAACGGUCCCGGUGGGUGCAGAGGUACCCGCGGGAGCCCGCAGGUCUGGGCUGUCCUCUCCGCACAGUGGUGGCACCGCGAGGUCAAUGCUGGGGGAUGCUCUCCAUCGGUCACCCUGGAGGCCGGGACUGGCCUGACAACUUCCACAGCCUGGAGCCAGACCACCGAGGGCCCUCCAGGGGAGCCAGCUUAGUUUUAAGCACCUGCUCAGUUCCAGGCUCUGUGCGGGACACAUGCCACUCUGUCUUCAGGGAGCCUCCAGGUCCGUGUGGGAGAAAGACAUGCGACACGACUUGAUUCCAACAAACUGGAUCCAUCUGAAUAACUUCUUUGAGGUUUCCCAUGUUUGAAGUGGAUAUUAAAGUGUUCCAGUCCUUAGAGAGCUCUUUAAAAUGCAACUCUUGUUUACCUGCACUUUAUCGUAAUUAUAACUCGGUUGCAGAGACAGAAGGCUCACGCAACCAACUGUUCUGUCAAAUGCAAAUUUUGUAUGGGAAAUACUUCUGGGAGAAAAUAGAGCGGCCAUCAUGCGAGAAGUUAUUUUUAAAGGACUAUACCAAAUGUCUCCUGUACUUGAAAGUUUUAUCAAAAAUUUCAAUGAAUAGAGGAACCUUUGUGGGAGAUCAACACAAGCACACAUUGAGAUAGAUAGAUGCCCUCCUCAAAAUGUAACCAGAGUUUCAUAUAUAAAUUAUGAAACACCAAACAUAAAUAGCACAAUGUUUGUUUAUAUACACUCUUAAUAUUGACACGUGGGUUUACUUUUGAUACUCAUCUUCAUUUCAUCUCUAACACAAGAUUAAACUAAGGUGGUAAAACUAACUUUUCAGGUAGUAUUGCUGCAUAACAAACCACCCCAAAUUUGGAUGGUGUAAUAAAGCAGUGAUUUAUUCUUGUUCAU